UACGGAGGAUGCAAGCGUUAUCCGGAAUGAUUGGGCGUAAAGCGUCCGCAGGUGGCUGUGUAAGUCUGCUGUUAAAGAGUGAGGCUCAACCUCAUAAAGGCAGUGGAAACUACAUGGCUAGAGUGCGUUCGGGGCAGAGGGAAUUCCAGGUGUAGCGGUGAAAUGCGUAGAUAUCUGGAGGAACACCGGUGGCGAAGGCGGCAUCCUGGACCAACACUGACGCUGAACAGCGAAAGCCAGGGGAGCAAACGGG
rnacentral:rRNA from 1 species